AACAAUUGUAAUUUAACUAACUAGCAGUAAGUACGUGCGUUGCACAUUAUAUAUAUUGGAUGAAUGAUAUAAGUAAUAUUUUUUAAGUACUAAUAAUGUUUUUGAAAGUAAUAGAUAUUGUUAAAGGAAAAUAUUAAAUUGUUAAAAGAAAUAUAUAUGAAUACAACAUUUUUUUUAUGAAAUUGUGUAUAUAGAGGUUGAAUAAAUUGAAAUAUAUUUUUUUAUUAGACUAACUUCUUUUUUUUUU
rnacentral:lncRNA from 1 species